GACGAACGCUGGCGGCGUGCCUAAUACAUGCAAGUCGAACGAGUGGCGGACGGGUGAGUAAUGUCUGGACAACUGCCUGAUGGAGGGGGAUAACUACUGGAAACGGUAGCUAAUACCGCAUACCAUCAGAUGUGCCCAGAGUGGAUGAGCUUUUUGGUGGGGUAACGGCUCACCAAGGCGACGAUCCCUAGCUGGUCUGAGAGGAUGACCAGCCAAACUGGAACUGAGACACGGUCCAGACUCCUACGGGAGGCAGCAGUGGGGAAUAUUGGACAAUGGGCGCAAGCCUGAUGCAGCCAUGCCGCGUGUAUGAAGAAGGCCUUCGGGUUGUAAAGUACUUUCAGCGGGGAGGCGUUACCCGCAGAAGAAGCACCGGCUAACUCCGUGCCAGCAGCCGCGGUAAUUC
rnacentral:rRNA from 1 species